AUACGGAGGGUCCGAGCGUUAUCCGGAAUCAUUGGGUUUAAAGGGUCCGUAGGCGGGCAGCUCAGUCAGUGGUGAAAGUUUGCAGCUCAACUGUAAAAUUGCCAUUGAUACUGGUUGUCUUGAAUUAAUGUGAAGUGGUUAGAAUAAGUAGUGUAGCAGUGAAAUGCAUAGAUAUUACUUGGAAUACCAAUUGCGAAGGCAGAUCACUAACAUUAUAUUGACGCUGAUGGACGAAAGCGUGGGGAGCGAACAGGAUUAGAAACCCUAGUAGUCC
rnacentral:rRNA from 1 species